GACGAACGCUGGCGGCGUGCUUAACACAUGCAAGUCGAACGGAAAGGCCCUGCUUUUGUGGGGUGCUCGAGUGGCGAACGGGUGAGUAACACGUGAGUAACCUGCCCUUGACUUUGGGAUAACUUCAGGAAACUGGGGCUAAUACCGGAUAGGAGCUCCUGCUGCAUGGUGGGGGUUGGAAAGUUUCGGCGGUUGGGGAUGGACUCGCGGCUUAUCAGCUUGUUGGUGGGGUAGUGGCUUACCAAGGCUUUGACGGGUAGCCGGCCUGAGAGGGUGACCGGCCACAUUGGGACUGAGAUACGGCCCAGACUCCUACGGGAGGCAGCAGUGGAGAGUAUUGCACAAUGGGCGGAAGCCUGAUGCAGCAACGCCGCGUGCGGGAUGACGGCCUUCGGGUUGUAAACCGCUUUCGCCUGUGACGAAGCGUGAGUGACGGUAAUGGGUAAAGAAGCACCGGCUAACUACGUG
rnacentral:rRNA from 1 species